rnacentral:rRNA from 1 species
CAGCAGCCGCGGUAAUACGUAGGGUGCAAGCGUUAAUCGGAAUUACUGGGCGUAAAGCGUGCGCAGGCGGUUUUGUAAGACAGAGGUGAAAUCCCCGGGCUCAACCUGGGAACUGCCUUUGUGACUGCAAGGCUAGAGUACGGCAGAGGGGGAUGGAAUUCCGCGUGUAGCAGUGAAAUGCGUAGAUAUGCGGAGGAACACCGAUGGCGAAGGCAAUCCCCUGGGCCUGUACUGACGCUCAUGCACGAAAGCGUGGGGAGCAAACAGGAUUGGAUACCCCUGUAGUCCCUGUCUCUUAUAC